rnacentral:rRNA from 1 species
GACGAACGCUGGCGGCGUGCUUAACACAUGCAAGUCGAACGGAAAGGCCCUGCUUUUGUGUGGUGCUCGAGUGGCGAACGGGUGAGUAACACGUGAGUAACCUGCCCUUCACUUUGGGAUAACUUCAGGAAACUGGGGCUAAUACCGGAUAGGAGCUCCUGCUGCUUGGUGGGGGUUGGAGAGUUUCGGCGGUUGGGGAAGGACUCGCGGCUUCUCCGCUUGUUGGUGGGGUUGUGGUUUCCCAGGGCUUUGACGGAUAGCCGGCCUGAGCGGGUGAACGGCCACAUGAGUACUGAGAGAGGGCCCAGACUCCUACGGGAGGCAGCAGGGGGGAGUAUUGCACAAUGGGCGGAAGCCUGAUGCAGCAACGCCGGGUGCGUGAUGACGGCCUUCGGGUGGUGAACAGAUUUCGCCUGUGACGAAGCGAGAGUGACGGUAAUGGGUAAAGAAGCACCGGCUAACUACGUG